CAUGGACCGGUGUUCGUUCCCAUUCGUGGGCAGGGGUUCUGCCUCUGUCCCGUUGGGUUCGUUCUGAGAGUAUACGGUUAAACUUGAUCUGGACAAUACCAGCGAAAGGAUCAUG
rnacentral:ncRNA from 22 species